rnacentral:rRNA from 1 species
GAUGAACGCUGGCGGCGUGCUUAACACAUGCAAGUCGAACGGAAAGGCUCCUGCUUGCAGGGGUACUCGAGUGGCGAACGGGUGAGUAACACGUGGGUGAUCUGCCCUGCACUUCGGGAUAAGCCUGGGAAACUGGGUCUAAUACCGGAUAGGACGAUGGUUUGGAUGCCAUUGUGGAAAGUUUUUCGGUGUGGGUUGAGCUCGCGGCCUAUCAGCUUGUUGGUGGGGUAAUGGCUUACCAAGGGGUCGACGGGUAGUCGGCCUGAGAGGGUGUACGGCCACAUUGGGACUGAGAUACGGCCCAGACGCCUACGGGAGGCAGCAGUGGGGAAUAUUGCACAAUGGGCGCAAGCCUGAUGCAGCGACGCCGCGUGGGGGAUGACGGCCUUCGGGUUGUAAACUCCUUUCGCUAGGGACGAAGCGCAAGUGACGGUACCUGGAGAAGAAGCACCGGCUAACUACGUG